UGGGGAAUAUUGCACAAUGGGCGAAAGCCUGAUGCAGCGACGCCGCGUGAGGGAUGACGGCCUUCGGGUUGUAAACCUCUUUCAGCAGGGAAGAAGCGAAAGUGACGGUACCUGCAGAAGAAGCGCCGGCUAACUACGUGCCAGCAGCCGCGGUAAUACGUAGGGCGCAAGCGUUGUCCGGAAUUAUUGGGCGUAAAGAGCUCGUAGGCGGUUAGUCGCGUCUGCUGUGAAAACUCGAGGCUCAACCUCGGGCUUGCAGUGGGUACGGGCUGACUAGAGUGCGGUAGGGGUGACUGGAAUUCCUGGUGUAGCGGUGGAAUGCGCAGAUAUCAGGAGGAACACCGAUGGCGAAGGCAGGUCACUGGGCCGCAACUGACGCUGAGGAGCGAAAGCAUGGGGAGCGAACAGGAUUAGAUAGCCCUGGUAGUCCAUGCCGUAAACGUUGGGCACUAGGUGCGGGUCCAUUCCACGGAUUCCGUGCCGCAGCAAACGCAUUAAGUGCCCCGCCUGGGGAGUACGGCCGCAAGGCUAAAACUCAAAUGAAUUG
rnacentral:rRNA from 1 species